CCUACGGGCGGCAGCAGUAGGGAAUAUUGCUCAAUGGGGGAAACCCUGAAGCAGCCACGCCGCGUGGAGGAUGAAGGUUUUCGGAUUGUAAACCUCUUUUGUUCGAGAAGUAAAUGACGGUACCUAACGAAUAAGCACCGGCUAACUCCGUGCCAGCAGCCGCGGUAAUACGGAGGGUGCAAGCGUUAUACGGAAUCACUGGGCGUAAAGAGCGCGUAGGCGGGAUGGCAAGUCAGAAGUGAAAUCCCAUGGCUUAACCAUAGAACGGCAUUUGAAACUGUUAGUCGAGAGUAUGGGAGAGGUAGGUGGAAUUCUUGGUGUAGAGGUGAAAUGCGUAGAGAUCAAGAGGAAUACUCAUUGCGAAGGCGGCCUACUAGAACAUAACUGACGCUGAUGCGCGAAAGCGUGGGGAGCAAACAGGAUGAGAUACCCGAGUAGUC
rnacentral:rRNA from 1 species